GUAGAGAGAGGUUUGUGGUUAGUCUAUAAAUAAGUCACCAUUGCACGCACAGAAAAUAAAGUUAGAGGCAAUUCAGUACAGUUUCUCCGUAGUUUUGAAAUUCUAAGAAGAGAAGCAUAAGGUUCGAAAAUUCGGAACUAAAAUGGGCUCCACGCAAGAAAGCGUUUUAAAAUGUCCCAGUUACUCAAAAAGGUUCACAACAAAGCAAAAUUUAACCAAUCACUUUUAUACGCACGACCACGAGGCGAAGGUGAAAUGUCAGAUUUGCGGGAAAAUUUCGAAAAAUCCAAAAACCCUAUCAGCCCACAUGUUGCUGAUGCACACGGACCGGAACCGACCCAGCUGCGACACCUGUCACCGUGUUUUUUCCUCAUCUGAAAAUUUACGGAGCCACAUUACUGCCGUUCACAGCACGAUUGAACGACCUCGCUUUCCAUGUGGAUAUCCUGGCUGUGACAAAUCUUACUUAACGAAAAAUGAUGCUUCGAAACAUGUGAGAACAGAACAUUCCGAAAAUCCGACCCGAUUUCCGUGCACACUUUGCGGUAAAGAAUUUAAAACGAGGCGAGACCUUGAGUCACACAUUUCCACCCACACGACGGAGAAGACGUCCACUUGUUCGUGGGAGGAGAUUCGCCCAUUUGUC